rnacentral:tRNA from 3 species
UCCUCCUUAGCUCAGUUGGUUAGAGCAUCUGACUGUUAAUCAGAGGGUCGCUGGUUCGAGUCCAGCAGGAGGAG